rnacentral:rRNA from 1 species
UACGUAGGGUGCGAGCGUUGUCCGGAAUUACUGGGCGUAAAGAGCUCGUAGGUGGUUUGUUGCGUCGUCUGUGAAAUUCCGGGGCUUAACUUCGGGGUGGCAGGCGAUACGGGCAUAACUAGAGUGCUGUAGGGGAGACUGGAAUUCCUGGUGUAGCGGUGGAAUGCGCAGAUAUCAGGAGGAACACCGAUGGCGAAGGCAGGUCUCUGGGCAGUAACUGACGCUGAGGA